AAUGAACGUUGGCGGCAUGGAUUAGGCAUGCAAGUCGAGCGAGAAGGAAAUCAAAGUUUACUUUGGUUUCCGGAAAGCGGCGAAAGGGAGAGUAACGCGUAGUUAUCUACCCCAAGGCCCGGAAUAGCUGCGGGAAACUGCAGGUAAUGCCGGAUAAUAUCCCCGGAUCAAAGGUGUGAUUCCGCCUUGGGGGGAGACUGCGUUGUACUAGCUUGUUGGUAGGGUAAUGGCCUACCAAGGCUACGAUGCAUAGCGGGCGUGAGAGCGUGGUCCGUCUCACUGGGACUGAAACACUGCCCAGACACCUACGGGUGGCUGCAGUCGAGAAUCUUCGGCAAUGGGCGAAAGCCUGACCGAGCGAUGCCGCGUGCGGGAUGAAGGCCCUCGGGUUGUAAACCGCUGUCGUAGGGGAGAAAGGACUGUUGAAGAGACGGUUUUGAUCUAUCCUAGGAGGAAGUCCGGGCUAAGUUCGUGCCAGCAGCCGCAGUAA
rnacentral:rRNA from 1 species